CCGAUGGCGACCGGCGCACGGGUGAGUAACGCGUAUGCAACUUACCUAUCAGAGGGGGAUAGCCCGGCGAAAGUCGGAUUAAUACCCCAUAAAACAGGGGUCCCGCAUGGGAAUAUUUGUUAAAGAUUCAUCGCUGAUAGAUAGGCAUGCGUUCCAUUAGGCAGUUGGCGGGGUAACGGCCCACCAAACCGACGAUGGAUAGGGGUUCUGAGAGGAAGGUCCCCCACAUUGGUACUGAGACACGGACCAA
rnacentral:rRNA from 1 species